AUUGAACGCUGGCGGCAUGCCUUACACAUGCAAGUCGAGCGGCAGCGCGGGGGCAACCCUGGCGGCGAGCGGCGCACGGGUGAGUAAUACAUCGGAACGUGUCCUUUCGUGGGGGAUAACCAGUCGAAAGGUUGGCUAAUACCGCAUGAGAUCUCACGAUGAAAGCGGGGGACCCGAGGGUAACUUCGGGCCUCGCGCGAUUGGAGCGGCCGAUGUCGGAUUAGCAGUUGGCGGGGUAAAAGCCCACCAAGGCGACGAUCCGUAGCUGGUUUGAGAGAACGACCAGCCACACUGGGACUGAGACACGGCCCAGACUCCUACGGGAGGCAGCAGUGGGGAAUUUUGGACAAUGGGGGCAACCCUGAUCCAGCCAUGCCGCCGUGUGU
rnacentral:rRNA from 1 species